rnacentral:rRNA from 1 species
AUUGAACGCUGGCGGCGUGCCUAAUACAUGCAAGUCGAACGGAGUGGCGCAUGGGUGAGUAAUAUAUAGCUAAUCUGCCCCUUGCUGGAGGACAACAGUUAGAAAUGUAUGCUAAUAUUCCAUAGCAAGGGAUGAGACUAUAACGUAUCAGCUAGUCGGUGGGGUAACGGCCUACCGAGGCUAUGACGCGUAACUCGUCUGAGAGGAUGAUCAGUCACAUUGGAACUGAGACACGGGCCAGACUCCUACGGGAAGCAGCAGUAGGGAGUAUUGCGCAAUGGGGGAAACCCUGACGCAUCAACGCCGCGUGGAGGAUGACACGUUUCGGAGCGUAAACUCCUUUUGUUAGGGUAGCGGUACCUAACGAAUAAGCACCGGCUAACUCCGUGCCAGCAGCCGCGGUAAUAC